rnacentral:tRNA from 1 species
CAGUUGUACUAGGUAAAGGUGCUGCCGCCUUGAUUUUUUCAAGGAAAAUCCCCGAGGGUUCUAACCUUUUUAUAUUUGA